rnacentral:rRNA from 1 species
UACGAAGGGUGCAAGCGUUACUCGGAAUUACUGGGCGUAAAGCGUGCGUAGGUGGUUCGUUAAGUCUGAUAUGAAAGCCCUGGGCUCAACCUGGGAAUGGCAUUGGAAACUGGCGACCUAGAGUGCGGUAGAGGGUAGUGGAAUUCCCGGUGUAGCAGUGAAAUGCGUAGAGAUCGGGAGGAACAUCCGUGGCGAAGGCGACUACCUGGACCAGCACUGACACUGAGGCACGAAAGCGUGGGGAGCAAACAGG